rnacentral:tRNA from 1 species
GCCGACGUAGCUCAGCCGGUAGAGCAGCGGUUUCGUAAACUUCCGCGUUCGAUCCAGCCGGCG